UAGGGAAUCUUCGGCAAUGGACGAAAGUCUGACCGAGCAACGCCGCGUGAGUGAAGAAGGUUUUCGGAUCGUAAAACUCUGUUGUUAGAGAAGAACAAGGACGUUAGUAACUGAACGUCCCCUGACGGUAUCUAACCAGAAAGCCACGGCUAACUACGUGCCAGCAGCCGCGGUAAUACGUAGGUGGCAAGCGUUGUCCGGAUUUAUUGGGCGUAAAGCGAGCGCAGGCGGUUUCUUAAGUCUGAUGUGAAAGCCCCCGGCUCAACCGGGGAGGGUCAUUGGGAACUGGGAGACUUGAGUGCAGAAGAGGGGAGUGGAAUUCCAGGUGUAGCGGUGAAAUGCGUAGAUAGAUGGAGGAACACCAGUGGCGAAGGCGGCUCUCUGGUCUGUAACUGACGCUGAGGCUCGAAAGCGUGGGGAGCAAACAGG
rnacentral:rRNA from 1 species